rnacentral:rRNA from 1 species
GAAAGUAAGUAAGGGCGUAUGGGGGAUGCCUAGGCUCUUGGAGGCUAAGAAGGACGUGGUAAGCUGCGAAAAGCUGCGGGGAUUUGCAAACGAGACUCGAUCCGCAGAUAUCCGAAUGGGACAACCCGGCAGGUAGAAGACCUGUCACACCGCGAGGUGAGCUAACCCUCUGAACUGAAACAUCUAAGUAGGAGGAGGAAAAGAAAGAAACAUCGAUUUCCAAAGUAGCGGCGAGCGAAAUGGAAGAAGCCCAAACCGAUAUUGUUACGGCAAUAUCGGGGUUGUAGGACUGCAAUAUUCAAUUAACAAUGAACUGGAAUGGUCUGGAAAGUCCAUCCAUAGAGAGUGAAAGGCUCGUACAGGUAAGUUUGUUAUGCGAAAGCAGUAUCCUGAGUAUGGCGGGACACGAGGAAUCCUGUCAGAAUCAGCCGGGACCACCCGGUAAGGCUAAAUACUCCCAAGAGACCGAUAGUGAACCAGUACCGUGAGGGAAAGGUGAAAAGAACCCCGAACAGGGGAGUGAAAUAGAACCUGAAACCAUACGCUUACAACCGGUCGGAGCAGCUUCGUGCUGUGACGGCGUGCCUAUUGAAUAAUGAGCCUACGAGUUACUAAUCACUAGCGAGGUUAAGUGCAAGGAUGCACGGAGCCGAAGCGAAAGCGAGUCUGAACAGGGCGUUUAGUUAGUGGUUGUAGACGCGAAACCUUGCGAUCUACCCUUGAGCAGGUUGAAGGUUGGGUAAAACCAACUGGAGGACCGAACGAAUAAGCGUUGAAAAGCUUCUCGAUGACUUGAGGGUAGGGGUGAAAGGCUAAUCAAGCUGGGAAAUAGCUCGUACUCCCCGAAAUGCCUUUUGGGGCAGCGUUGUAAUAAAGAGUCUACUGGAGGUAGAGCUACUGAUUGGAUGCGGGGGCUUCACCGCCUACCAAAUCCUGACAAACUCCGAAUGCCAGUAGUAUGAUUUACAGCAGUGAGUGACUGGGUGCUAAUGUCCAGUCGCAAAAGAGGAACAACUCAGACCAGCAACUAAGGUCCCGAAGAAUAUGCUAAGUUGAUCUAACGAUGUUUUGUUGCAGAGACAGCUAGGAUGUUAGCUUGGAAGCAGCUAUUCAUUCAAAGAGUGCGUAACAGCUCACUAGUCGAGCGACAGAGCGUGGAUAAUAAACGGGCAUCAAGCAUAUCACCGAAGUUCUGGGCGCGAGAGCGCGGUAGGGGAGCAUUCCAUUCAGCGUCGAAGCAGUUUCGUGAGGAAUUGUGGAGCGUAUGGAAAAGCAAAUGUAGGCAUGAGUAACGAUAAUGCGGGAGAGUAACCCGCACACCGCAAGACCAAGGUUUCCUGAUCAACGCUAAUCGGAUCAGGGUUAGUCGGGUCCUAAGGGUAAGCCGAACGGCGAUCUCGAUGGAUAAUCGGUUAAUAUUCCGAUACUAACAUAUACCUCGAUGGAGAGACGAAGGAACGUAAGUGCCGCCACCUGACGGAAUAGGUGGUUAAAGGGCGUAGGUAUAGGGGCAGAUUAAGAGUUAGUCCUUGCUGAAACCUGACAGUACAGAGAGCCUACGGGCAAUUUGAUAGAGCACCCAAGUCGACUUCCGAGAAAAUCUUCUAAGUUAUAGUAUAUGUUACCCGUACCGUAAACCGACACAGGUGGUCGAGGAGAGUAUCCUAAGGUGCUCGAGUGAAUCACGGUUAAGGAACUAGGCAAAUUAACCCCGUAACUUCGGGAAAAGGGGUCCCUAUGAAAGUAGGGCGCAGCGAAGAGGUCCAGGCGACUGUUUAUCAAAAACACAGGGCUCUGCAAAUUCGAAAGAAGACGUAUAGGGCCUGACACCUGCCCGGUGCUGGAAGGUUAAGAGGGGAUGUCAUCGCAAGAGAAGCAUUGAAUCGAAGCCCCAGUAAACGGCGGCCGUAACUAUAACGGUCCUAAGGUAGCGAAAUUCCUUGUCGGGUAAGUUCCGACCUGCACGAAUGG